UGAAUACGAGAUGCUACGGCGUCGAAGCAGUCUAUGUCAUACUUCCAAGAAAAGCUUGCACUGUCAUAAACAAAUAAUGCCUGUACCAUAACCGACACAGGUGGGUAGGUAGAGUAUACUAAGGGGCGCGAGAUAACUCUCUCUAAGGAACUCGGCAAAAUGACUCCGUAACUUCGGGAGAAGGAGUGCCUUAUUUAUAAGGUUGCAAUAACAAGAUCCAAGCAACUGUUUACCAAAAACACAGGUCUCCGCUAAGUCGUAAGACGAUGUAUGGGGGCUACGCCUGCCCAGUGCCAGAAGGUUAAAGAAGUUGGUUAGCAUCCGCGAAGCUGAUAACUGAAGCCCUGGUGAACGGCGGCCGUAACGAUAACGGUCCUAAGGUAGCGAAAUUCCUUGUCGGGUAAGUUCCGACCCGCACGAAAGGCGUAAUGAUUUGGAUACUGUCUCGGAGAGGGGCUCGGUGAAAUAGACUUGUCUGUGAAGAUGCGGACUACCUGCACCAGGACAGAAAGACCCUAUGAAGCUUUACUGUAACCUGAAAUUGGAAUUGGACUUUACUUGCGCAGUAUAGGUGGGAGGCGUUGAGAAUAUUCUUGCGGGAUUAUUGGAGCCAUCAGUGAGAUACCACUCUUGUAAUGUUAGAUUUCUAACUUUGUAUCAUUAUCUGGUCAAAGAACAGUUUCAGGCGGGCAGUUUGACUGGGGCGGUCGCCUCCUAAACGGUAACGGAGGCGCACAAAGGUUUCCUCUGAACGGGUAGAAAUCGUAUCUAGAGUGUAAAGGCAUAAGGAAGCUUGACUGUGAGACCUACAAGUCGAGCAGGGACGAAAGUCGGUCUUAGUGAUCUGACGGUGCUGAGUGGAAAGGCCGUCACUCAACGGAUAAAAGUUACUCUAAGGAUAACAGGCUGAUCUCCCCCAAGAGUUCACAUCGACGGGGAGGUUUGGCACCUCGAUGUCGGCUCAUCGCAUCCUGGGGCGGUAGUACGUCCCAAGGGUUGGGCUGUUCGCCCAUGAAAGCGGUACGCGAGCCGGGUUCAGAACGUCGUGAGACAGUUCGGUCCAUAUCCGGUGUAGGCGUUAGAAUAUUGAGAGGAGCCUUCUUUAGUACGAGAGGACCGAGAAGGACAUACCUCUGGUGUACCAGUUAUCGUGCCAACGGUAAACGCUGGGUAGCUAUGUGUGGAGUGGAUAACCGCUGAAAGCAUCUAAGUGGGAAGCUCACCUCAAGAUAAGUAUUCUCAUC
rnacentral:rRNA from 1 species